GCUGGGCGUGGUGGUGCGUGCCUGUAGUCCCAGCUACUCAGGAGGCUGAGGCAGGAGAAUUGCUUGAACCAGGGAGCUGGAGGUUGAAGCGAGCCAAGAUGGCGCCAUUGUACUCCAGCCCGGGUGACAGAGCAAAACCCUGUCUCAA
rnacentral:SRP_RNA from 2 species